rnacentral:rRNA from 1 species
CCUACGGGGGGCAGCAGUGGGAAAUAUUGCACAAUGGGGGAAACCCUGAUGCAGCGACGCCGCGUGAGUGAAGAAGUAAUUCGUUAUGUAAAGCUCCAUUAGCAGGGAAGAAAAUGACGGUACCUGAGUAAGAAGCCCCGGCUAACUACGUGCCAGCAGCCGCGGUAAGACGUAGGGGGCAAGCGUUAUCCGGAUUUACUGGGGGUAAAGGGAGCGUAGACGGCAGUGCAAGUCUGGAGUGAAAGGCGGGGGCUCAACCCCCGGACUGCUCUGGAAACUGGACGGCUUGAGUGCAGGAGAGGUAGGUGGAAUUCCUAGUGUAGCGGUGAAAUGCGUAGAUAUUAGGAAGAACACCGAUGGCGAAGGCAGCUUACUGGACUGUAACUGACGUUGAGGCUCGAAAGCGUGGGGAGCAAACAGGAUUAGAUACCCCAGUAGUC